rnacentral:rRNA from 1 species
CCUACGGGAGGCAGCAGUGGGGAAUAUUGCACAAUGGGCGCAAGCCUGAUGCAGCCAUGCCGCGUGUGUGAAGAAGGCCUUCGGGUUGUAAAGCACUUUCAGCGGGGAGGAAGGCGGUGAGGUUAAUAACCUCAUCGAUUGACGUUACCCGCAGAAGAAGCACCGGCUAACUCCGUGCCGGCAGCCGCGGUAAUACGGAGGGUGCAAGCGUUAAUCGGAAUUACUGGGCGUAAAGCGCACGCAGGCGGUCUGUCAAGUCGGAUGUGAAAUCCCCGGGCUCAACCUGGGAACUGCAUUCGAAACUGGCAGGCUAGAGUCUUGUAGAGGGGGGUAGAAUUCCAGGUGUAGCGGUGAAAUGCGUAGAGAUCUGGAGGAAUACCGGUGGCGAAGGCGGCCCCCUGAACAAAGACUGACGCUCAGGUGCGAAAGCGUGGGGAGCAAACAGGAUUAGAUACCCUUGUAGUC